GAUGAACGCUAGCGGCAGGCUUAACACAUGCAAGUCGAGGGUUAUAGUUCUUCGGAACUAGAGACCGGCGCACGGGUGCGUAACGCGUAUGCAAUCUACCUUUUGCAGAGGGAUAGCCCAGAGAAAUUUGGAUUAAUACCUCAUGGUAUGUGAGAAUGGCAUCAUUUUCACAUUAAAGUCACAACGGCAAAAGAUGAGCAUGCGUCCCAUUAGCUUGUUGGUAUAGGUAACGGCUUACCAAGGCAACGAUGGGUAGGGGUCCUGGGAGGGAGACCCCCCACACUGGUAGUGAGAAACGGACAAGACUCUGACGGGAGGCAGCAGGGAGAAAUAUGGAAAAAUGGGCGAAAGCCGGAUCCAGCCAUGCCGCGUGCAGGAUGACGGUCCUAUGGAUUGUAAACUGCUUUUGUACAGGAAAAAACACUGGUUCGUGAACCAGCUUGACGGUCCUGUAAGAAUAAGGAUCGGCUAACUCCGUGCCAGCAGCCGCCGUAAGAC
rnacentral:rRNA from 1 species